rnacentral:snoRNA from 1 species
UUACAUGAUGAUAAUUUUAUUUUUUCACUGGUCUAAUGAGAACAGAGGUCUCCUGGUGGAGAUUCUUUAAGACCAUCCUACAAUUUAUUUUGUAUCCUUCACCGUAUUCAGUUGUUUAUUUUAGGACCGUUUUGGUUUUAUUAUUUAUAUACAGUUUACAACUCGAAGGAAUUGGGAGUUUUUUAAUGUAAUGAGUGGCCAGUAACCUUUAUGUCAUAGUUACACUGACU